UGAGGUAAUGACUGGGCGCCUGUGUGCCUCAGGGCAACGGGGUAGAGGAGGCAGCACCCAUGCGGGUCAGCCUGGGGCUGGGAACGGGGACAGAAGCAGGAGCUCGUGUGUGUGGAGCCUGCGUCCUGCUUUGCGUCUGUGUCCCAUGGGGACACCCUGUCCUGCGCUCCAGGCACAGCGCGGAAAGGAACACAAACUUCUCCUGAGAACUUCAGACGUGCCAGGUUCUCAGUCCGCCACCACAGCCUCGUGGGGUCAGGAACAUCACUCCCAUCGCACAGAAGCCACGGGGAUGCUCCCCAAGUCAGGGGCCCUGGGAGGGAAUGCUUUCGGAGGGGCAGCCUCCCCCUGGAGGGGCAGCUCUGGAGGCAGAGCCCAAGCCCGUGACUCACUGACCCCCACCUCCAGAUCCCUCCGCUUCUGAUGGUCUGGUCAGGAAGCCAGUGGCCAGAGCUGCCAAAAUAGGCGGCCAACCCCGUGGCCAACGCCGGGCAGAAGUCUCUCCUCCCCUGGGCUGAGCACACUGAGGUCUCAGUCCAUCGCACAACAGAUCAUGCAAGCCACCAGUGACCUCCUGCUCCUCUGCCGGACGUGCCAGGUCUCACCUUCGGAACCUCUCAUCUGCACCUGACACGCUGCUCCCCUUCUGCUUGUCAAGACCCCAUAGCAGGCAGACCCCUCCCUGUAUCUCCCUCACUGUUCAUUCUGUCUCCCUCGCUGGCUGGUUCUAGGCGGCCCAAAGCCCCCUGCCCCCAGAUGUAUCCCCUUCUGGGGUGACUAGGCUCCACGUCUCGCUCCCCCACCCCAGCUCUGGCAGUCCAGGCAGCAUCAGCUGGUCGAGGGGAGGGCUCUGGGCAGGACAGGACAGUGGCACCAUCAAAGCACAGCCAUGAAACCAAAGGCCCUGAGCAGGGGUUGCAUUGCCCGGUGACAGUCUGGACCACACACCGCGGCCUCUGGGCUCCUGGACCACCCACAUCUCUCACCUGUCCUGAGCAUCAGAACUCUUCAGCGGGCCUCCCACCUCAUCGGUGGGCUGCAUGGGUUUGUCUGUGCCAGGCACCUCUUGCCUUCCUCUCUCCUCUAAUACAGGAGCAGCAGGCCAUACAGGCUGUCUUCCCCGUGUACUCCAGGAUCCAGCCCCCCCGGCCCCGCCCCUGCCGGCCACAGCAGAGGACACCUUCCCAAGCAGGAGGAAAGGACAGACCCUCCUCCGGGAGAAGGAGCGCCUCUGACCCUAAAGGUUUCAUGAUUCACGUGAUCCAGGAUUCUUCUGAUUUAAAAUCAGCUUCAUCUAUUCCCAUUCCCAGCCCUCCUCAACUCAAGGAGGUGACCCUCAGAUACCAGCACCAGCGCAGCGUAUCGCCGGAGGAUUUUGGAAAACCCACAGAUCACCUCCAGCAGCAGCUGAGCUGGGCACAUGGUCCACUCCCAGCUAAGCGGCAACAACUUCACCUAGUUCACUGGCAAGAAAAGAUAAACAGAUCUGAGCACCAGUCCUCUACACACUUGGCGCACACCAGGAGAAAACACUUCACAAAACUCACACAUUAAAAGGAAGCUUCUCAGCAAACACAAAGGCACAGUGAGAGCACGCCCAGGGACCAGGAGUUCCGGCCCCAGCCCCGCUCCCGGGCGGCUUGCUUAAAACACUCUCAGCCUCAAAUUCUUUACUGGUAAAAUCAGAAGGCUGGGCAAACACUACGCUUUAAGAGGCAACUCCAAUCAAUCUGUAGUGACAGCCUGGCGAGCUGCGUUGAGAAAGACUGGGAGACUGU